rnacentral:rRNA from 1 species
ACCAGACUCCUACGGGAGGCAGCAGUGGGGGAUAUUGCACAAUGGGGGGAACCCUGAUGCAGCGACGCCGCGUGGGUGAAGGAGUGCUUCGGCAUGUAAAGCCCUAUCGGCAGGGAAGAAGCAAGACGGUACCUGACUAAGAAGCCCCGGCUAACUACGUGCCAGCAGCCGCGGUAAUACGUAGGGGGCGAGCGUUAUCCGGAUUCACUGGGGGUAAAGGGAGCGUAGACGGCCAUGCAAGCCAGGGGUGAAAGGCCGGGGCCCAACCCCGGGACUGCCCUUGGAACUGCAUGGCUGGAGUGCGGGAGGGGCAGGCGGAAUUCCUGGUGUAGCGGUGAAAUGCGUAGAUAUCAGGAGGAACACCGGCGGCGAAGGCGGCCUGCUGGGCCGCGACUGACGUUGAGGCUCGAAAGCGUGGGGAGCGAACAGGAUUAGAUACCCCCGUAGAC